rnacentral:rRNA from 1 species
UACGUAGGGUGCAAGCGUUAAUCGGAAUUACUGGGCGUAAAGCGUGCGCAGGCGGUUAUGUAAGACAGGUGUGAAAUCCCCGGGCUUAACCUGGGAACUGCAUUUGUGACUGCAUAGCUAGAGUACGGUAGAGGGGGAUGGAAUUCCGCGUGUAGCAGUGAAAUGCGUAGAUAUGCGGAGGAACACCGGUGGCGAAGGCGGUUCUCUGGGCCUUACCUGACGCUGAGGAGCGAAAGCAUGGGGAGCAAACAGG